rnacentral:lncRNA from 10 species
CGACAUUUAAAGAAUCCCCAGCUACAUAAUCACAUUAACGUUUAAUGUGCCCAAGUGCAGCUGAAAGAUGUUUCCUCUCUUCUGCAUCUCCUUCCUGAAGCAAAAAUGCCAGUGGAACUGAGAAUCCCAUUUGUGUCUUGUGAUGAGUCCCCAUAGAAGAGAGAGUCCUUCAGACCCCUUCCCCACAUGGGCUGCUCCUCGAGUACCGGAGAGGACUCAGGUCUUAAAAUGAAAGAAACCGGCCGGUCGCGGUGGCUCACGCCUGAAAUCCCAGCACUUUGGGAGGCCGAGGCCAGUGGAUCACGAGGUCAGGAGAUCGAGACCAUCCUGGCUAACACGGUGAAACCCCGUCUCUACUGAAAAAUACAAAAAAUUAGCCGGUGUGGUGGCGGGCGCCUGCAGUCCCAGCUACUCAGGAGGCUGAGGCAGGAGAAUGGCGUGAACCUGGGAGGCGGAGCUUGUAGUGAGCCGAGAUUGGCCACUGCACUCCAGCCUGGGCGACACAGCAAGAGUCCGUCUCAAAAAAAAAAAAAAAAAAAAGAAAGAAAGAAAGAAACCCACUAUAGUAGGACAGUCAAUUGUGGAAAAUUUAAUCUUGGCAAAAGAGUUGAAGCAGGGCGAAUAAAGAAUAUGUUGAUGUUAGGCAUAUUCCAGUUUAACUUUCUUUCACAGCACUUAACCAUCUCCAAUAUCAUAUUUUACCCUUAUUUAUUUGUUUGUUUGUAUAUCUCUCCGAAUAGAAUGUUAAGUCCAUGAGAUGGGUGCUGUGUCUAUUUGGUUCUUUCCAUAUCCUUAUCACAUAUAAUAAUGUUUGCCAUAAACUAGUACUUGAAAUAAAUAUUUGUUAAAUGAAUAAACAAGGUCAUUGAUCAAGGACUAUCUUCAUAUUUAACAAGUCUGUCUGAUGGAAAUGUAGUGGAAAGAUUCUGGUCUGGAAGUUCAAAAAUGUAUUCUGGGAGCUCUUUAAUUUGGAGCAAAUUCUUUCACUUCUCUGUGCUGAAGUUUCUUGCUGUGAAGGAAUGCUGAAAUUUACCCUUAAAAGAUAGCUGAGAGAUUAAAUGAAAUUAAUGAGAAAUCAAAAAAUAAAACCCUGGAAAUUUGAAACCAGUAAUAAUAGAUAGCACAUAGUUAUGUGUCCAAAGCAUUAUGUACAUUAACUCUUCUCCUUUUAACAAUCUCCAGAGGUAGGUACUAGUAUCUCUCCACCUUACAAAUGAGGAAACUAAGACUCAGAGACCCAGGCCAGAUAUCCCAGCUAAGUAGAGGAGGCAGAAUUCAACUUUGGUUGGCUUGACUCCAAAUUGUAUUUGCUUCCUCUUGCAGAUGAAUGCUGCUACAAUAAAGGGUAAGGUUCUUCUAUCUUUCCUGCUUUAUUGGCAAACUCAAGUUCCCAAGAUUCACAUCAUAGGGUACUGUAGCCAAACUCAUGAUCUUCUCCUUAGAGCAUUCCCCUUAAAUCCCUUCUCUUUCAUUGCCCUGGGGCUCAGACUAUACAUUUAAGAAAGAAAAGAAAUGCAGUAGCCUUGUUGUUUCUCAGUCUCUAGGUCCUGCCAGUUAACACACAUGACUUUCUCUCAUUUGAACUGCCUCUGCCUUAGUUUGGGACCCUAAAAAUCUCCCCUGGACCUUUGCUGUUCCCUCCUAACUAGUCUUAUUGCCUCAUUUCACACUUCCCAUCUGUCAUCUGCACUGUGUCAACAUGUCUGCCCAUAACUCAGAUCUUACCAUAUCACUCCCUCUUUCCCUGUCCAAGGUCCAAGCUAUCCAGCAGAAUAGACACAUACUCUAAGACUUAGUCUCUUGUCUUCCUUCUCAACCUCAACUCUACUCAUGCCCUGCCGGGCAAUAUUUCACUGCUUACUCUUCUCCUCACCUGGUAGGGGAUUCUACUUCUUGGUGUAUUUACUCAAGGUCUUUCUUCAUCCUGAAACACUACUGUACACAUUUUGCUCAUAAUUCCUU